rnacentral:lncRNA from 1 species
UUCACAUAAUCAUAUUCAAAUGUAUGCUAUGCCAAAAUAUAACAAAGUAAACAAUCCAAGUAAGAAUGAUUUCAUAGAAAUAUGAUAUGUUAGUCGGAACCCCUGAGGUGGUAUGUACAGCUGAAUUCAUAGCUCAAAAGUCAAUCUAGCCGGAGUCACUACAAUGACCUAUACGACAAUAUAAUGUACAUAAGUCAGAACCACUAAGAAGGAUCUGUACGACAAGAUUGGGUGAAAUAUAAUUAUGCUCAACCCUAUUCUCUCAUAAUAGUCGGGCAAUAAAUCGCUAGUCACCUAUGAGUCGGAACCAUGAAUAACGUCUGUAUGACAAGACUGUGCACUUAAGUUUGAUCCAAUAUGAACAUAUAGUGCAUGAGGUAACGUAAAUAAAUAGGCAUGUACUUUAUAUCUCUGGCUAAAUCAAAAUCACCCUAGGUGCAAUUUCAUGAGCUCAACAUCAUUCAAUCACAUAUCACAUCAUUAAUGAUUCACAUAGCCAAACAUAACUUACCUGAACUUACCUGUGCCUCCACAGCACCACAUUUAUAUAUAUAUGCAACCAUGAAAUGCAUAUUCAGAAUAUAAAAGCAUUUGACAUAUUAUUUCAAAGCAUACUUUCCUUAAAAAUGCAUUUCUGGGAAAUAUAUCAAGUAUAUAAAUAUAUACUGAAAACAAAAGCCCACUCACUGAUAUGUCAAAGGGUCGUAGCCCCCGAAUCGCCCGUGGAUACACACGUCCUCGGGAUAAGUCUCACCUAUAUGCAAAUUAACUAUAAAAACGUUAUUUUAAAGCACAUAUACAAAACUAGCUAAUAACUUCUCAUACAUUGCUCAAAUUGGGUACAUGAAUAUACCACAGUGAUCUACACAACUUCACGAACAUCGUGAUAUUUUUAGAAAAAUUUUCCUAUGGCUCACGCACUGGGGAGGGCACGGCCUCACGCACCCUCACGCGCAUCACAUUUAACCUCCAGACGCCGGAACUGUGUCACCAGUGCAAAAUUCUGGGCAGACCUACAACUGCCUAUUUCUCUCUCGUUUUUGCACCAUUUUUCACGUAAUUUAUACCAAAAUGAAGCUCUUAACUUGUAGAACACAAUCAUACUAAUUUAAAAGUUCUAAAAGUCACGGAAUCUCACCGGAGAAUUCCAAGAAAACCGGCUUCGUCCACAAAUCGUCCUUCGUCCAACACGAUCCCGAUGUCCAAAACCUUCAAAUGAAGCACUCCGAGCUUCCUUGGGACCUCACUAAGCUUCCUACAAGCUUCAAAUUCCCAAAAACAUCCAUAAUUACGUGUGCAUGAACAGUGCAUAAAUCGGGGGUUAAGAAAAACUAGGGUUUUCGAAGGUAUCCUUACUUGAAAUGGGUGCCAAUCGACUCGUUUGAGCUUCACAAACACAAUGGUACCAACUUUGACCACGAUCCGUGAAGUUUCAAUGGUUUUGGAGGUUUGUCCGUACGAUUUCGAAUGAGAGAGACGAGAGAGUCUGGGAAAUGAGAGAGAGAAGGGUAUGGAUGUGUGUGGUCCAAAAAUACACACCAAUCAAAUUGUUUAAUCCUUUUUGGUCUAAUUGGGUCCAAUUAGUUAGGAAUAUAACUAAUUGACCCAAUUCCUUAACCCAAACACAAACACACGUCCAACGCUCAAGGGUAAAUCCGUCUUUUCACAACCACGAUAAUUAAUUCUUGGGAUGGGCUGUGACAUCAAACUUCCUAGAUCACCCACGAUCACGAUCGAGUCACUAUUUACCUCGCUGGAGCUUAUGGAACUUAGGGUUCUUGACGUUCUUUCUUAAAAACAAUGGUAUCACUCGACUCAUGAGAACACAACGAACAAAGUGGUGACCUUAGAUGGUUUGAUCCGUGAGGUUUUGAUGUAGUUUGAGGGAUUGUCCGUACAGUUGUACGGACAAUGGAAGAAAUUCGAGAGGGAGGAGAGAGAGAGUGCACGGGAAGGAGAGAGAGAGAGAGUUGGAGUGUGUGUGUAUGUGUCCAAAAUUGUUUGACUUCCAAACAACCACAAAACCAUAACAACUUGAAGUUCUAAUUGGUUCCAAAUAUCAGGGA